rnacentral:rRNA from 1 species
AACGAACGCUGGCGGCAUGCCUAACACAUGCAAGUCGAACGAGACCUUCGGGUCUAGUGGCGCACGGGUGCGUAACGCGUGGGAACCUGCCCUUAGGUUCGGAAUAACUCCCCGAAAGGGGUGCUAAUACCGGAUAAUGUCUUCGGACCAAAGAUUUAUCGCCUUUGGAUGGGCCCGCGUUGGAUUAGCUAGUUGGUAGGGUAAAAGCCUACCAAGGCGACGAUCCAUAGCUGGUCUGAGAGGAUGAUCAGCCACACUGGGACUGAGACACGGCCCAGACCCCUGGGGGAGGAGGCGGGGGGAAAUAUUGGAAAAGGGGGGAAGGCUUGACCCAGCAUUGCCGUGGGAGGAAUGAAGCCUUUGGGGUUGAAAACCUUUUUUCCCCGGGAGAAUAAGAAAGGACCGGGAAAAAAAGGCCCCGGCAACCCCGGGC